CCUACGGGAGGCAGCAGUAGGGAAUCUUCCACAAUGGGCGAAAGCUUGAUGGAGCACCGCCGCGUGGGUGAAGAAGGUCUUCGGAUCGUAAACCCCUGUUGUUAGAGAAGAAAGUGCGUGAGAGUAACUGUUCACGAUUCGACGUUAUCUAACAAGAAAGCCACGGCUAACUACGUCCCAGCAGCCGCGGUAAUACGUAGGUGGCAAGCGUUAUCCGGAUUUAUUGGGCGUAAGGGGAACGCAGGCGGUCUUUUAAGUCUAAUGUGAAAGCCUUCGGCUUAACCGGAGUAGUGCAUUGGAAACUGGGAGACUUGAGUGCGUAAGAGGAGAGUGGAACUCCAUGUGUAGCGGUGAAAUGCGUAGAUAUAUGGAAGAACACCAGUGGCGAAAGCGGCUCUCUGGUAUGUAACUGACGCUGAGGUUCGAAAGCGUGGGUAGCAAACAGGAUUAGAUACCCCAGUAGUC
rnacentral:rRNA from 1 species